CUGCCGCCCUGCAGCUGGCCCUGAAGCCUCUUACUAAGAUACAAGAUGCGUAUAAUUCUCCGCAGCAAAUCACAAGCAGACUGCAGACGUGAGACCUGUGC